CGCCCGCUAUUUAGUCAAGAAUGAUGGCCCUGUGAUCGUACAGCUACCUCACCCGAGCCAGGGGGUGUCGGCGAGCGCCCACCCUAUUCACUGGCUCACACAGAUAGCCCAGGCCGCCGGAGACAAGAGAGUGGUCAAGGUUAUCUCUUUGGGGACGAAGUGUGAGAAAGACUUAAUCCUCACAGCGCUUGAUCAAGGUGCUCAGAAAGGCCAUUGGGUGAUCCUGAACAACUGUCACCUCUUGGAAGAAUGGGAUGAGCAAGUGGUCCGCAAGCUCACUCGCAUAUUAUCCUUAACAGCUAAAGGACCCAAGGUAGAGGUAGACAAGACACUCGCUCAGGUACAUCCUCUGUUCAAGGUGUGGUUCAUAACUCAAGGGGAAGAUCCACUUUCGGUUCCAGGUACAUACCCUCACCUGAAAGAUUAAAUGGCUUUGAGUGCCUAUAUGUGCUAACGCAGUCUUCAUGUAUUUCUUUUGUCAUACCAUUUUCACUUGAAUUUGUAUUUUGCUGCGUGCAAGUGAAACCUCUGACAGAACUUUAUAAUAUUUAUUUGUCCUUUAAAUAAAUUAAAUUCAACUUCUCAUUGCAGCUGUUGUGAGGGUAUGUGCUCUUCGCUUGGUGUGCGAUUCUCCCUGGGACCUCAAGGAGCAGUUGUGCUCUUCCCUGUACUGUGUUGCCUCCUGCACAUCUACCCGCAGAUCCAGGUCUAUGGAGCCCAUUCUCCGCUGUGCCAUUCUGCACUCAGUGCUUCUUCAACGCCAAGCCUACCAGUACAUGGGCCAGGGUAGCCUCUACAACUGGACACAGGAAGAUCUUGUGACUCUGAUUGAAGCUCAUACCCAUCUCAGUAAACACUGCAUUGACACAGCUGAGGCACUGGAAUAUAUCGCAGGUAAAGGCUCUCUUGGCAUUAAGGCAGACCCCUGAUCUAGCAUCAUUUUUGUCGGUUUUACAUUCAUUUUUAUAUGAAAAUAUAAUUUCAAUCAUUUAAUUUAAAUUACAUUUAAAAUUGAUAUGUAUCUGCAUUUGUACAUUAUGUAGCCCUUGCCCUCAUGUUGUCUUGUUCCAGCAUAUCUGGUCUAUGGUGGUCAUGUGCUUGACUCUGCUGAUCUGGAGGCUGUAGUCGGAGUGACCAGGGCCUGCCUGAGGACUCCCUCGCCCACGUGGGGCAGCGGUCCACACACUCUGGCACAGAUCAUCAGCACCUCUGGCCACUUAGGUAAACAUGUGUGAAUAUGUCAGCAGAAUAUGGCAUAAAAUACCUGGAAGUAAAUAAGUCCCUAGAAGUAAUGGAAAUCACAGUCCAAAUGGCUGCAGAAGUGAGGCUUGUUGCUGUUGCUGUUUGAAGUGCUGUGUUAUUGCUGUGAAAGUGAGGCUUUGAUAACGAUGCACAAAAUGUCUGUCACAUUUCCCCUAUUAACCCCCUCCCCCACCACACACACACACACACACACUACAAUUCUUUGUUGCAUUCUCAGGCUUUCAAGGUCUUGACCACCAUGUUCAAAACCUGCGUGAUACCAAUGAUCCUUUGC
rnacentral:lncRNA from 1 species